rnacentral:rRNA from 1 species
UGGAAGUAAAAAGUCGUAACAAGGUCUCCGUAGGUGAACCUGCGGAGGGAUCAUUACAAGUGACCCCGGUUUACCACCGGGAUGUUCAUAACCCUUUGUUGUCCGACUCUGUUGCCUCCGGGGCGACCCUGCCUUCGGGCGGGGGCUCCGGGUGGACACUUCAAACUCUUGCGUAACUUUGCAGUCUGAGUAAACUUAAUUAAUAAAUUAAAACUUUUAACAACGGAUCUCUUGGUUCUGGCAUCGAUGAAGAACGCAGCGAAAUGCGAUAAGUAAUGUGAAUUGCAGAAUUCAGUGAAUCAUCGAAUCUUUGAACGCACAUUGCGCCCCCUGGUAUUCCGGGGGGCAUGCCUGUUCGAGCGUCAUUUCACCACUCAAGCCUCGCUUGGUAUUGGGCAACGCGGUCCGCCGCGUGCCUCAAAUCGACCGGCUGGGUCUUCUGUCCCCUAAGCGUUGUGGAAACUAUUCGCUAAAGGGUGUUCGGGAGGCUACGCCGUAAAACAACCCCAUUUCUAAGGUGACCUCGGAUCAGGUAGGGACCCCAAUUUAAAUUUU